rnacentral:rRNA from 1 species
UGGGGAAUAUUGGACAAUGGGGGAAACCCUGAUCCAGCCAUGCCGCGUGUGUGAAGAAGGCCUUUUGGUUGUAAAGCACUUUAAGCAGUGAAGAAGACUCUUCGGUUAAUACCCGGAGACGAUGACAUUAGCUGCAGAAUAAGCACCGGCUAACUCUGUGCCAGCAGCCGCGGUAAUACAGAGGGUGCAAGCGUUAAUCGGAAUUACUGGGCGUAAAGCGAGCGUAGGUGGCUUGAUAAGUCAGAUGUGAAAUCCCCGGGCUUAACCUGGGAACUGCAUCUGAUACUGUCAGGCUAGAGUAGGUGAGAGGAAGGUAGAAUUCCAGGUGUAGCGGUGAAAUGCGUAGAGAUCUGGAGGAAUACCGAUGGCGAAGGCAGCCUUCUGGCAUCAUACUGACACUGAGGCUCGAAAGCGUGGGUAGCAAACAGGAUUAGAUACCCUGGUAGUCCACGCCGUAAACGAUGUCUACUAGUCGUUGGGUCCC